ACACUGAUGGUGAAACGGUAUCAUGCUUGCCUUCCAUCUGCAUCUGCCCAUCGGGCGGUCGCUAAGCAAGCGGCGUGGGUUCGACUCCCGCUCAGUGUA